GUCUCUUUGGCGCAGUGGAUAGCGCGUUAGACUUAUAAUCCAAAGUCGUGGGUUCGAUACCCACAAGGAAUG